GGCAGUUCUUGAGUGAUGCACCCCACAGCACCCCAGAAUUGGGCUCCCUCCUUUCUGGUUCCGGGGUGGGUCACUCGAGAACCGCU
rfam:Myotis davidii contig229857, whole genome shotgun sequence.